UACAGAGGGGCAAGCGUUAUUCGGAAUUAUUGGGCGUAAAGGGCGCGUAGGCGGCUUUUCAAGUGACGGGUGAAAUCCCUCGGCUUAACCGAGGAACUGCCUGUCAGACUGGAAGGCUUGAGACCGGGAGAGGUGAGUGGAAUUCCCAGUGUAGCGGUGAAAUGCGCAGAUAUCAGGAAGAACACCAAUGGCGAAAGCAGCUCUCUGGGACGGUACUGACGCUGAGACGCGAAAGCGUGGGGAGCGAACAGG
rnacentral:rRNA from 1 species